rnacentral:rRNA from 1 species
GACGAACGCUGGCGGCGUGCUUAACACAUGCAAGUCGAACGGAAAGGCCCUGCUUUUGUGGGGUGCUCGAGUGGCGAACGGGUGAGUAACACGUGAGUAACCUGCCCUUGACUUUGGGAUAACUUCAGGAAACUGGGGCUAAUACCGGAUAGGAGCUCCUGCUGCAUGGUGGGGGUUGGAAAGUUUCGGCGGUUGGGGAUGGACUCGCGGCUUAUCCGCUUGUUGGUGGGGUAGUGGCUUACCAAGGCUUUGACGGGUAGCCGGCCUGGGAGGGUGACCGGCCACAUGGGGACUGAGAUACGGCCCAGACUCCUACGGGAGGCAGCAGUGGGGAAUAUUGCACAAUGGGCGGAAGCCUGAUGCAGCAACGCCGCGUGCGGGAUGACGGCCUUCGGGUUGUAAACCGCUUUCGCCUGUGACGAAGCGUGAGUGACGGUAAUGGGUAAAGAAGCACCGGCUAACUACGUG